rnacentral:tRNA from 1 species
GGAGAGGUGUCCGAGCGGUUGAAGGAGCGUGCCUGGAAAGUGCGUGUACGUUGAUAGCGUAUCGGGGGUUCGAAUCCCUCCCUCUCCG